UACGUAGGUGGCAAGCGUUGUCCGGAUUUACUGGGCGUAAAGAGCGCGCAGGCGGCUGGUCAAGUCCGACGUGAAAUCUCCCGGCUCAACUGGGAAAUUGCAUCGGAAACUGAUCGGCUUGAAGGUGGGAGAGGGUAGCGGAAUUCCCGGUGUAGUGGUGAAAUGCGUAGAUAUCGGGAGGAACACCAGUGGCGAAGGCGGGUCUCUGGGCCGAAAUUGACGCUGAGGAGCGAAAGCGUGGGGAGCAAACAGG
rnacentral:rRNA from 1 species